rnacentral:rRNA from 1 species
UACGGAGGGGGCUAGCGUUGUUCGGAAUUACUGGGCGUAAAGCGCGCGUAGGCGGACCUGCAAGUCAGGGGUGAAAUCCCGGGGCUCAACCCCGGAACUGCCUUUGAUACUGCGAAUCUCGAGUCCGGAAGAGGUGAGUGGAAUUCCUAGUGUAGAGGUGAAAUUCGUAGAUAUUAGGAAGAACACCAGUGGCGAAGGCGGCUCACUGGUCCGGUACUGACGCUGAGGUGCGAAAGCGUGGGGAGCAAACAGG